CAACCGGGACAGGCCGAAUUUCCUUAGCCUCCUGAGGAAGUAGAGGCGCUGGUGAGCUUGUGUCAUCCCUGGUCCCUUUAAACUCACUGGGCACACUGGAAGGUUCAUUGAACAUGGAAAACAAGUAAAAUAAAACUAUGUUUGGGUACUAAUGGAGUAGAAUCAGAACCAGGUUUAUUAUCACCGAUGUAUGUUGUGAAAUGUGUUGUUUUGUGGCAGCAGUACAGUGCAAGACAUAAAGUUACUAUAAGUUACAAAAAUAUAUAAAGAGGGCAAAAGAGGAAUAACGAGGGAGUGUUCAUGGGUUCAUGGACCAUUCAGAGAUCUGAUGGCGGAGGGGAAGAAGCUGUUCCUGAAUCGUUGAGUGUGGGUCUUCAGGCUCCUGUACCUCCUCCCCGAUGGUAGUAAUGAGAAGAGGGCAUGUCCCGGGUGGUGAGGGUUCUCAGUGACGGAUGCCGCCUUCUUGAGGCACCGCCUCUUGAAGAUGUCCUUGACAGCGGGGAGGGCUGUGCCCGUGAUGGAGCUGGCUGAGUCUGCAACCCUCCGUGGCCUCUUGCGAUCCUGUGCGUCGGAGCCUCCGUACCAGGCGGCGAUGCAACCAGUCAGAAUGCUCUCCGCCGUACAUCUAUAGAGAUUUGCAAGAGUCUUUGGUGACGUACCAAAUCUCCUCAAACUCCUAACGAAGUAGAGCCGCUGGCCUGCCUUCUUCGUGAUUGCAUCGAUGUGUUGGGCCCGGGAUAGAUCCUCGGAGAUGUUGGCUCCCAGGAACUUGAAGCUUCUCCCCCUUUCCACUGCUGACUGUCAGCUGGGUGGCUUCCUCCCGCUCUGAAUCCAACCCCGCCCAGCGGAUGAUGACCGCCCCGUCAGCGCAAAGGUCCCAACUCGAUGACAGGCCUUCAAGCUUUUCUCCGUCCAAAUGAGUUAUCACCGAGGACAGGUCAUCCUGUGCUGAAGGCAGCCAUCUUGGAACAGAACCGCGACCGCCCGUCCUCAUCGCCAGCGCCGUAUCCCGCGACACGAGAAAAGAGGCCACUCGGCCCCUCAAGCCUGCCCUGCCAUUCAAGACAUUUUGAUAGGUCAAAUAUGAUGGCAGAAUAUAGUAUUAAUGAGAGUCAGAGAGAGAGAGAAGUGAGAGAUGGACUGCUGGUCUCUGUGUCGAUGGAUGAAGAACAAUAACUGUGUUUGUCACCACAACCCAUGUAUGGAUUUUUGGAUUAAUUCAGUGGAGACCACUUUGUCGUUAACCUGUAGUGGGAAGCGGGUAUUUCUGUGGGCGGCCACGUAUCAAACGCCUUCGGGGUGGCAGAUACUUCGGAACAAAGCAGUGGAGAUCAUCGGAGAUCGAGGUGUCGUCUGGGUUCCGUCGUGGAACACGUGGGUUUCAUAAAUACUCUCUACAUUCUCCCUUCAGUCAACGGUGGUUUUUGCAGAAGCCUUUGCUCGCGUUUCACCAGAUGACUCGCUGAACUGAACUUCGAGAACUAUUCCUGGACAGGGUUUGGGAAUUUGCCCCACACACACCGAGUUUAG